ncrna:Schistosoma mansoni type-P1 twister ribozyme
UACAUAACUCCGCCUGUAGCCCUUCUAGAGUUACUGCCGGUCCCAAGCCCGGGUAAAGGAGGAGGGUUGAA